rnacentral:rRNA from 1 species
UACGAAGGGGGCUAGCGUUGUUCGGAAUCACUGGGCGUAAAGCGCACGUAGGCGGAUCUUUAAGUCAGAGGUGAAAUCCCAAGGCUCAACCUUGGAACUGCCUUUGAUACUGGGGAUCUUGAGUCCGGGAGAGGUGAGUGGAACUGCGAGUGUAGAGGUGAAAUUCGUAGAUAUUCGCAAGAACACCAGUGGCGAAGGCGGCUCACUGGCCCGGUACUGACGCUGAGGUGCGAAAGCGUGGGGAGCAAACGGA